rnacentral:lncRNA from 1 species
GUGGCCCCUACGAAAUGACAAUACUCAAAAAAGUCAAAAGACCAAGCAUAGCGCCGCUUAAAGACAUAAUUAAUGGUAAAAAGAUCUUUUAUGACCUCUCUCUUCUCCUCAAGGCUCCAACCUCAUCUAUAUAAAGAGAUAAACAGGGAUCCUCCUAGUAUGCCUCCUCUCUCUCUCAUAAACACUCACUCUUUUUCGCUUGUUG